CCUACGGGAGGCAGCAGUAGGGAAUAUUGGUCAAUGGGUGAGAGCCUGAACCAGCCAUGCCGCGUGCAGGAAGAAGGCCUUCUGGGUUGUAAACUGCUUUUGCCAGGGGAUAAAAUAGCUUUGCGAAGCAAAUUGAAGGUACCUGGUGAAUAAGCCCGG
rnacentral:rRNA from 1 species